rnacentral:rRNA from 1 species
AAAACAACAGGGAUUGCCUCAGUAACGGCGAGUGAAGCGGCAACAGCUCAAAUUUGAAAUCUGGCUCUUUCAGGGUCCGAGUUGUAAUUUGUAGAGGAUGCUUCGGCGUAGGCUCCGGUCUAAGUUCCUUGGAACAGGACGUCAUAGAGGGUGAGAAUCCCGUAUGUGAUCGGCUGCCUUUGCCAUGUGAAGCUCCUUCGACGAGUCGAGUUGUUUGGGAAUGCAGCUCUAAAUGGGAGGUAAAUUUCUUCUAAAGCUAAAUACUGGCCAGAGACCGAUAGCGCACAAGUAGAGUGAUCGAAAGAUGAAAAGCACUUUGGAAAGAGAGUCAAAAAGUACGUGAAAUUGUUGAAAGGGAAGCGCUUGCAACCAGACCUGCCUGCAGUUGCUCAUCCGGGCUUUUGCCCGGUGCACUCUUCUGCUGUCAGGCCAGCAUCGGUUCGGGUGGUCGGAUAAAGGCUUCGGGAAUGUAGCUCCUCUCGAGGAGUGUUAUAGCCCGUUGCGAAAUGCGGCCAGCCUGAACUGAGGUCCGCGCUUCGGCUAGGAUGCUGGCGUAAUGGUUGUAAGCGGCCCGUCUUGAAACACGGACCAAGGAGUCUAACAUCUGUGCGAGUGUUUGGGUGUCAAACCCGUACGCGUAAUGAAAGUGAACGGCGGCGGGAACCCCUCGGGGUGCACCGUCGACCGAUCCUGAUGUCUUCGGAUGGAUUUGAGUAAGAGCAUAGCUGUUGGGACCCGAAAGAUGGUGAACUAUGCCUGAAUAGGGUGAAGCCAGAGGAAACUCUGGUGGAGGCUCGCAGCGGUUCUGACGUGCAAAUCGAUCGUCAAAUUUGGGCAUAGGGGCGAAAGACUAAUCGAACUAUCUAGUAGCUGGUUCCUGCCGAAGUUUCCCUCAGGACAGCAGUAACGUUUUCAGUUUUAUGAGGUAAAGCGAAUGAUUAGAGGCCUGGGGGUU